ensembl:snRNA U1 U1 spliceosomal RNA
AUACUUACCUGGCAGGGGAGAUACUCUGAUCACGAAGGUGGUUUUCCCAGGGCGAGGCUUAUCUAUUGCACUCCGGAUAUGCUGACCCCUGCGAUUUCCCCAAAUGGGGGAAACUCGACUGCAUAAUUUGUGGUAGUGGGGGACUGCGUUCGCGCUUUCCCCUG